AUGGACUACGGCAAAAUGGCGAAAGGGCCAAUUAAGCCACUCAUUAUGUUUGUUGUGAGGACCUUGCAUGCCGAGAGCCAGCAACAUCGACAAAACCAACAAUGGUCAAGACAGAUAGCUUCUUCCACCCGUUAUGGGAUAAUGAUUCCGACACCUGGUAUCACACAAGGCGCAAGCGAAACUUCUACAACGUCUUAUCUAACAUACAACAUGGAUCCUUCAUCUGGUGCCGGCUUGGUUCCAGGGAGUGCCAAUAGUGGUACCUCGCUGCGAGGGGGAGCUCCUGAUGAGCAUGUGAACACAAUGUUGUCUCAGGGGAUACUCCCUACACAACAUGGUUGGUCUAGAGCGUCCAACAAUAACCUUGUAAUAAACACAGUAGACACACCUGAAACCAACAAACACUUGGCAUGCCCCGCACCUUCGAAGGAUCUCCCAAAGGAACCAAAGUUCAGCUGCCCAGUCUGCAUGAACGAGUUGGUCGAUGCGUCGUCGACUAUCUGCGGCCACAUCUUCUGUCAGAAGUGCAUCGAGGCCUCCAUCCAGGCUCAGAGCAAGUGCCCUACCUGCCGUAGGAUGCUGACCGUGAACAGUUUUCACCGUAUCUACCUCCCGACCAUGGACUGA
rnacentral:rRNA from 1 species